GUUGAACAUAGAUGCCACAUUCAUAGUGCUGGCAGGGGAUGUAACUCUAAAUGUGAAUCAGGCCCAUCCUUUUUCCUCCUAUCUAGAAGGCUUUUGAAGCUCCUGUCCUGAAGAAGGAUGGUGAGAACAGGUCUGGGCUUGUCUGCGGAAGAUGGGUUUCACACAAAGGAGAGCAGAAGCCAUUUAAAACGAGUUGCCAUUCCACCAGUGUGGACCUCAGGUUAACUUAGUCCACAUUGUGUGAAACAGUGGCUUCUGAGGUCAUGCCUUGGCCUGAGAAGCUCCAUUUUACAAGCAGCUUUUGACUCCAUUGUGAGUGCCAGCACAGAGAAGGGACGGCCCUUUACCUUGGUGGAUGCAUGUGCAUUAUCUGUUCAGCACCACCUAUGAGGCACUAACUGAUAAACACCUUAUUCCUAAGAGUAAGAAGAGUGCCUUCUAUAUACUAAUCAAGAUAAAUUGUGACCAUAUCAACGUACACAUGGGCAUAUUAAAAUCACA